rnacentral:rRNA from 1 species
UACGUAGGGUGCAAGCGUUAAUCGGAAUUACUGGGCGUAAAGCGUGCGCAGGCGGUUGUGCAAGACAGAUGUGAAAUCCCCGGGCUUAACCUGGGAACUGCAUUUGUGACUGCACGGCUAGAGUGUGUCAGAGGGGGGUAGAAUUCCACGUGUAGCAGUGAAAUGCGUAGAGAUGUGGAGGAAUACCGAUGGCGAAGGCGGGACUCUGGGCCGAUACUGACGCUGAGGAGCGAAAGCAUGGGGAGCGAACAGG